UUUUCCGUCUCAAAUCGUAUAUUUUACCAGGAUUAAUUCUCACAAUAUAUAUAUAUAUAUAUAUAUAAAACAAGAUUUCAACAAAAUUAUAAUAAUAUCACAAUUAAAAAAAUCAAAAACCUAAAUUAAAAGCCCCAGUAAAAUAUCCUCUAUUUAACUUUAAAUGCACUACAAGAAAAUUAUGACUAACAAUUCAAAUUUCUAACACAAGAAAAUUAUGACUAACAAUUCAAAUUUCUAACAUCAACUCCAUAACUUAAAUUUCUGAACCAGAAGAGACCA
rnacentral:lncRNA from 1 species